GCUGGGCACAGUAGUGCAUGCCUGUAGUCCCAACUACUCAGGAGGCUGAGGCUGGAGGAUCGCUUAAGCCCAGGAGUUCUAGGCUGUAAUGCACUAUGCCGAUCAGGUGUCCACACUAAGUUCGGCAUCAAUAUGGUGACCUCCUGGGAGCAGAGGACCACCAGGUUGCCUAAGGGGUGGGGGGAGGUGAACCGGCCCAGGUCGGAAAAGGAGCAUGUAAAGACUCCUGUGCUGAUCAGUAGUGGGAUCGCGCCUGUGAAUAGCCACUGCACUCCAGCCUGGGCAACAUAGCGAGACCCCAUGUCU
rnacentral:SRP_RNA from 1 species